rnacentral:rRNA from 1 species
GGGAGCAAUCCCCCCUAGAGCGGCGGACUGGUGAGUAACGCGUGGGCGACCUGCCCCGGGGAUGGGGACAGCCGCUGGAAACAGCGGGUAAUACCGAAUACGCUUGUGCGGCCGAGGCCGUACGAGGAAAGGGGCUACGGCCCCGCCCCGGGAUGGGCCCGCGUCCCAUUAGCUGGUUGGUGUGGUAAGAGCGCACCAAGGCGAAGAUGGGUAGCCGGCCUGAGAGGGCGAACGGCCACACUGGGACUGAGAUACGGCCCAGACUCCUACGGGAGGCAGCAGCUAAGAAUAUUCCGCAAUGGGCGAAAGCCUGACGGAGCGACGCCGCGUGGAUGACGAAGGCCGAAAGGUUGUAAAAUCCUUUUGCGGGCGAAGAAGAAGGCGGGGAGGGAAUGCCCCGCCGGUGGCGCCGGCCCGCGAAUAAGCCCCGGCUAAUUACGUGCCAGCAGCCGCGGUAACACGUAAGGGGCGAGCGUUGUUCGGAAUUAUUGGGCGUAAAGGGCGCGUAGGCGGCCGCGUAAGUCUGAUGUGAAAACCCCGGGCUCAACCCGGGAACUACAUUGGAAACUGCGCGGCUUGAGUCACGGAGGGGAAGCCGGAAUUCCUGGUGUAGGGGUGAAAUCUGUAGAUAUCAGGAAGAACACCGAUGGCGAAGGCAGGCUUCCAGCCGAUGACUGACGCUGAGGCGCGAAAGUGCGGGGAGCAAACAGGAUUAGAUACCCUGGUAGUCCGCACUGUAAACGAUGCACACUAGGCGUCGGGGCGAGCGUUCCGGUGCCGAAGCGAACGCGGUAAGUGUGCCGCCUGGGGAGUAUGCCCGCAAGGGUGAAACUCAAAGGAAUUGACGGAAUCGAAUUCC